UGGCUCAGUGGUUAAGAGCACUGACUGCUCCUCCAGAGGACCUGGGUUCAAUUCCCAG
rnacentral:tRNA from 1 species